GUCGGCAGCUAGCUCUUUGCAACUCUCACAUGGUCUCCCUCUGAAGCUAAGCAGGGCUGUGCCCGGUCAGUACCUGGACCGGAGACCACAUGGGAAAGCUAGGUUGCUGCUGGAA
rnacentral:rRNA from 1 species